rnacentral:lncRNA from 10 species
UUCCUGGGUAUUUUAUUCUCUUUGAAGCAAUUGUGAAUAGGAGUUCACUCAUGAUUUGGGUCUCUGUUUGUCUGUUAUUGGUGUAUAAGUAUGCUUGUGAUUUUUGCACAUUGAUUUUGUAUCCUGAGACUUUGGUGAAGUUGCUUAUCAGCUUAAAGAAAUUUGGGGCUGAGAUGAUGGGGUUUUCUAGAUAUACAAUCAUGUCGUCUGCAAACAGGGACAAUUUGACUUCCUCUUUUCCUAGUUGAAUGCCCUUUAUUUCUUUCUCCUGCCUGAUUGCCCUGGCCAGAACUUCCAACACUAUGUUGAAUAGGAGUGGUGAGAGAGGGCAUCCCUGUCUUAUGCCAGUUUUCAAAAGGAAUGCUUCCAGUUUUUGCCCAUUCAGUAUAUUGGCUGUGAGUCUGUCAUAAAUAGCUCUUAUUAUUUUUAGAUAUGUCCCAUCAAUACCUAAUUUAUUGAGAGUUUUUAGCAUGAAGGGCUGUUGAAUUUUGUCAAAGGCCUUUUCUGCAUCUAUUGACAUAAUCAUGUGGUUUUUGUCUUUGCUUCUGUUUAUAGGAUGGAUUACAUUUGUUGAUUUGUGUAUGUUGAACCAGCCUUACAUCCCAGGGAUGAAGCCCACUUCAUCAUGGUGGAUAAGCUUUUUGAUGUGCUGCUGGAUUCGGUUUGCCAGUAUUUUAUUGAGGAUUUUUGCAUCAAUGUUCAUCAGGGAUAUUGGUUUAAAAUUCUCUUUUUUUGUUGUGUCUCUGCCAGGCUUUGGUAUCAGGAUGAUGCUGGCCUCAUAAAAUGAGUUAGGGAGGACUCCCUCUUUCUCUAUUGAUUGAAAUAGUUUCAGAAUGAAUGGUACCAGUUCCUCCUUGUACCUCUGGUAGAAUUCGGCUGUGAAUCCAUCUGGUCCUGGACUUUUUUUGGUUGGUAAGCUAUUAAUUAUUGCCUCAAUUUCAGAGCCUGUUAUUGGUCCAUUAAGAGAUUCAACUUCUUCCUGGUUUAGUCUUGGGAGGGUGUAUGUGUCCAGGAAUUUAUCCAUUUCUUCUAGAUUUUCUAGCUUAUUUGCAUAGAGGUGUUUAUAGUAUUCUCUGAUGGUAGUUUGUAUUUCUGUGGGAUCGGUGAUAUCCCCUUUAACAUUUUUUAUUGCAUCUAUUUGAUUCUUCUCUCUUUUCUUCUUUAUUAGUCUAGCUAGCAGUCUAUCAAUUUUGUUGAUCUUUUCCAAAAACCAGCUCCUGGAUUCAUUGAUUUUGUGAAGGGUUUUUUGUGUCUCCAUCUCCUUCAGCUCUGCUCUGACCUAAGUUAUUUCUUGCCUUCUGCCAGCUUUUGAAUGUGUUUGCUCUUGCUUUUCUAGUUCUUUUAAUUGUGAUGUUAGGGUGUCAAUUUUAAAUCUUUCCUGCUUUCUCUUGUGGGCAUUUAGUGCUAUAAAUUUCCCUCUACACACUGCUUUAAAUGUGUCCCAGAGAUUCUGGUAUGUUGCGUCUUUGUUCUCGUUGGUUUCAAAGAAUAUCUUUAUUUCUGCCUUCAUUUCGUUAUGUACCCAGUAGUCAUUCAGGAGCAGGUUGUUCAGUUCCCAUGCAGUUGAGCAGUUUUGAUUGAGUUUCUUAAUCCUGGGUUCUAGUUUGAUUGCACUGUGGUCUGAGAGACAGUUUGUUAUAAUUUCUGUUCUUUUACAUUUGCUGAGGAGUGCUUUACUUCCAACUAUGUGGUCAGUUUUGGAAUAGGUGUGGUGUGGUGCUGAGAAGAAUGUAUAUUCUGUUGAUUUGGGGUGGAGAGUUCUGUAGAUGUCUAUUAGGUCUGCUUGGGGCAGAGCUGAAUUCAAUUCCUGGAUAUUCUUGUUAACCUUCUGUCUCGUUGAUCUGUCUAAUGUUGACAGUGGGGUGUUAAAGUCUCCCAUUAUUAUUGUGUGCGAGUCUAAGUCUCUUUGUGGGUCUCUUGGACUUGCUUUAUGAAUCUGGGUGCUCCUGUAUUGGGUGCAUAUAUAUUUAGGAUAGUUAGCUCUUCUUGUUGAAUUGAUCCCUUUACCAUUAUGUAAUGGCCUUCUUUGUCUCUUUUGAUCUUUGUUGGUUUAAAGUCUGUUUUAUCAGAGACUAGGAUUUCAACCCCUGCCUUUUUUUGUUUUCCAUUUGCUUGGUAGAUCUUCCUCCAUCCUUUUAUUUUGAGCCUAUGUGUGUCUCUGCACGUGAGAUGGGUCUCCUGAAUACAGCACACUGAUGGGUCUUGACUCUAUCCAAUUUGCCAGUCUGUGUCUUUUAACUGGAGCAUUUAGCCCAUUUACAUUUAAGGUUAAUAUUGUUAUGUGUGAAUUUGAUCCUCUCAGUAUGAUGUUAGCUGGUUAUUUUGCUCGUUAGUUGAUGCAGUUUCUUCCUAGCAUCGAUGGUCUUUACAAUUUGGCAUGUUUCUGCAGUGGCUGGUACCGAUUGUUCCUUUCCAUGUUUAGUGCUUCCUUCAGGAGCUCUUUUAGGACAGGCCUGGUGGUGACAAAAUCUCUCAGCAUUUGCUUGUCUGUAAAGGAUUUUAUUUCUCCUUCACUUUUGAAGCUUAGUUUGGCUGGAUAUGAAAUUCUGGGUUGAAAAUUCUUUUCCUUAAGAAUUUUGAAUAUUGGCCCCCACUCUCUUCUGGCUUGUAGAAUUUCUGCCGAGAGAUCAGCUGUUAGUCUGAUGGGGUUCCCUUUGUGGGUAACCCGACCUUUCUCUCUGGCUGCCCUUAACGUUCGUUCCUUCAUUUCAACUUUGGUGAAUCUGACAAUUAUGUGUCUUGGAGUUGCUCUUCUCGAGGAGUAUCUUUGUGGCGUUCUCUGUAUUUCCUGAAUUUGAAUGUUGGCCUGCCUUGCUAGGUUGGGGAAGUUCUCCUGGAUUAUAUCCUGCAGAGUGUUUUCCAACUUGUUUCCAUUUCCCCAUCACUUUCAGGUACACCAAUCAGACAUAGAUUUGGUCUUUUCACAUAGUCCCAUAUUUCUUGGAGGCUUUGUUCGUUUCUUUUUAUUCUUUUUUCUCUAAACUUCUCUUCUCGCUUCAUUUCAUUCAUUUGAUCUUCAAUCACUGAUACCCUUUCUUCCAGUUGAUCGAAUCGGCUACUGAAGCUUGUGCAUUCGUCACGUAGUUCCUGUGCCGUGGAUUUCAGCUCCAUCAGGUCCUUUAAGGAUUUCUCUGCAUUGGUUAUUCUAGUCAGCCAUUCGUCUAAUCUUUUUUCAAGGUUUUUAACUUCUUUGCCAUGGGUUCCAACUUCCUCCUUUAGCUCGGAGAAGUUUGAUCAUCUGAAGCCUUCUUCUCUCAACUCGUCAAAGUCAUUCUCUGUCCAGCUUUGUUCCGUUGCUGGUGAGGAGCUGCGUUCCUUUGGAGGAGGAGAGGCCCUCUGAUUUUUAGAAUUUUCAGUUUUUCUGUUCUGUUUUUUCCCCAUCUUUGUGGUUUUAUCUACCUUUGGUCUUUGAUGAUAGUGACGUACAGAUGCGGUUUUGGUGUGGAUGCCCUUUCUGUUUGUUAGUUUUCCUUUUAACAGUCAGGACCCUCAGCUACAGGUCUGUUGGAGUUUGCUGGAGAUCCACUCCAGACUCUGUUUGCCUGGGUAUCAGCAGCGGAGGCUGCAGAACAGCAAAUAUUGCUGAACAGCAAAUGUUGCUGUCUGAUUGUUCCUCUGGAGGUUUCGUCUCAAAGGGGUACCCGGCCGUGUGAGGUGUCAGUCUGCCCCUACUGGGGGAUGCCUCCCAGUUAGGCUACUCAGGUGUCAGGGUCCCACUUGAGGAGGCAGUCUGUCAGUGCUCAGAUCUCAAACUCCGUGCUGGGAGAAGCACUACUCUCUUCAAAGCUGUCAGACAGGGACAUUUAAGUCUGCAGAGGUUUCUGCUGCCUUUUGUUCAGCUAUGCCCUGCCCCCAGAGGUGGAGUCUACAGAGGCAGGCAGGCCUCCUUGAGCUGCAGUGGGCUCCACCCAGUUCCAGCUUUCCAGCCACUUUGUUUACCUACUCAAGCCUCAGCAAUGGCGGGCACUCCUCCCCCAGCCUUGCUGCCGCCUUGCAGUUCGAUCUCAGACUGCUAUGCUAGCAAUGAGAGAGGCUCCGUGGGCAUGGGACCUUCAGAGCCAUGCACGGGAUAUAAUCUCCUGGUGUGCUGUUUGCUAAGACCAUUGGAAAAGCGCAGUAUUAGGGUGGGAGUGACCUGAUUUUCCAGGUGCCAUCUGUCACAGCUUUGCUUGGCUAUGAAAAGGAAUUCCCUGACCCCUUGCACUUCCCAGGUGAGGCAAUGCCUUGCCCUGCUUCGGCUCAUGCUCGGUGCGCUGCACCCACUGUCCUGCACCCACUGUCUGACAAGCCCCAGUGAGAUGAACCCGGUACCUCAGUUGGAAAUGCAGAAAUCACCCAUCUUCUGCGCUGCUCAUGCUGGGAGCUGUAGACUGGAGCUGUUCCUAUUCGGCCAUCUUGGAACCGCCCCUCUGAAACUUUUUAGUCAUAAAAGGAUGUUGAAUUUUGUCAAGUGCUUUCUCUGCAUCUAUUGAGAUGAGAUGAUCAUAUGGUUUUUGUCCUUCAUUCUAUUAAUGUGGUAUAUCAAAUAUAUGUAUUUGGAUAUGUUGAACCAUCCUUGCAUUCUGGAGUAAAUUCCACUUGGUCAUGGUGAAUGAUCCUUUUAAUGUGCUGUUGAAUUUGGAUUACUAGUAUACCUUCUUCAUGAGGUUUACCAGACUUUUGUAGCAAUUCAAUGCAAAGAAGUACACUUUUGAAAUCAUAAAGCCAGUGGCUUGUGGCUUGACUUUUGACCUCCAUGACUUCUGGACUUGUUUGGUUCACUUUUGGUAUCUGGCUAAUAUAGCCUCCCACAUAGCUGGGACCAUGGUUGUACACCCUAUGCCUGGCUGAUUUAUUUAUUUUUUGUAGAGAUGAGGUCUUGCCAUGUUCCCUAGGCUUUUCUUGAACUCCUGGGCUCAAGCAAUCCUUCCAUUUCAGCAUCCCAAAAUUCUGGGAUUACAGGCAUUAAUCACCGUGCCCAGCCAUAUCUGAUAUUUACUACAUUUAUUUUGAUUUAUUUAUUUAUUUUUUUUUUGAGAUAGAGUCUUUCUCUGUCACCCAGGCAGGAGUGCAGUGGCAUGAUCAUAGCUCUCCGCAAUCUCCACCUCCUGGGCUCAAGCAAUCCUCUUGGCUUAGCUUCCCUUGUAGCUGGGACCACAGGUGUGCACCACCAUGCCUGGAUAAUUUUUGUAUUUUUUUUGGUAGAGAUGGGUUCUUACCAUGUUGCUCUGGCUGGUUUUGAACUCAUGGGCUCAAGCAAUCUGCCUGCCUCAGCCUCCCAAAAUUCUGAGGUUACAGACAUGAGCCACUGAGCCCAGCCUAUUUUGAUAUCUAAUCACACAUUCUAUUAUGUACCAUUAUUUAAAUGUUUUAUGUACUUAAGGUUUCUAACCCUAAUUGGAUCCUAGAUUCUUAAGGGCAAACAUUGAUAUUUAAUCAGUAAUAACACAAUUAUUCAGUCAGGGGAUAAAUAUGUCUCAAUAGCUAAGUUUACUCCCUUAAGCAUACAAAUAUUUUAUUUUAACUACUAUGGAUAGAAACAGGUUUUAAAAUGUACUUACAUUCCUGAAGGGUACUUUAAAAAUACUCACUAUACAUAACAGUUUUAUGCAUAUAGAGGACUUUAUAUAGCCACUUGUUUUAAAAGAAAUGUGUUAAGUAAAUUCUAUAUCCCAAGGCACAUGAUAUAUACUAAGACUAAAGAGCAAACAAAAGAAGCUAUUACUCAUUUUUCAAAAGAACUGGGCCAAGAGUGAUGGCUCACACCUGUAAUCUCAGAGCGUUGGGAGGCUGAGGUGGGAAGAUUGCUUGAGGCCAGGAGCUCAAGAUCAGCCUGAGCAACAUAGUGAGACCCUGUCUCUACAAAAAAUUAUUUAAAAACAUAGUUGGGCAUGGUGGCAUGUGCCUAUAGUCCUAACUACUAAGGAGGCUGAGGCAGGAGGAUCACUUGAGCCCAGAGUUCAAGGUCAUAGUUAGCUAUGAUUGUACUGCACUCCUGCCUCAGUGACAGAGUGAUACUUUGUCAAUUAAAAAAAAAAAAAAAGAAGAACUGCCUUUAGUACCUUUACUCAUUUUGCUACCCUAAUACCAUUGAUGAUGAACAAAUAUUGCUUUUUUUUUCCAUUUUUUUUCUCGUGUGACACAGCCCUCAGGAGAUCCUGAGAACAUAUGCCCCCUUUCUUUCUUUUUUUUUUUUCUUUCUUUCUUUUUUUUUUUUUGAGACAGGGUCUUGCUCUGUUAUCCAGGCUGCUGUGCAGUGGUGCAAUCACAGCUCACCACUGCCUUGACGUCCCAGGUUCAGGUAAUCCUCCCACCUCAACCUCCAAAGUAGCUAGGACUACAGGCACACACCACCACCCGUGGCUUACAGAUAUUGCUUUAAUUUCUGAAAAUAUUUAACUGAGAAGUCAUAGUACCUCAUAAUAGGCAAUUUUAACAGAUAUAUUGAUCUGAAGAUAUCCUUCCAUGUAAAGCAAUGGUACAUGAGUAUGAUAAGGAGAAUGUAUGGAAUGAUAUUGUUUCUUAGCAAUUAAUAAUUUAUAAAAACAUAAACAGUAGGCCUGAGAUUAUACUUGACUAUAAUACACCGAUAUAUGAAAUUAAAAGUUAUAUUUCACCUAUUAACUAGUUUAAGAAUAAGUACUUUCUACAAGUCUAAUGUCAAAAUCAUUUUCAUGUAUAUAUAUUAUACCACUUCUUAUUGGAAUGGGCUAGAAGGAAGUACUCCAUUGCAAUAAAAUAUAACCACAAAGGCUGAGUGGAGUGGCUCACAUCUAUAAUCCCAGCACUUUGGGAGGCCGUGGUGGGUGGAUCACGAGGUCAGGAGUUCGAGACCAGCCUGACCAACAUGGUGAAACCCCGUCUAUACUAAAAAUACAAAAAUUAACUGGGUGUGGUGGCACACGCCUGUAAUACCAGCUACUCAGAAGGGUGAGCCAGAGUCGCUUGAACCUGGAAGCAGAGGUUGCAGUGAGCUGAGAUCGUGCCAUUGCACUCCAGCCUGGGCGACAGAGCAAGACUCUGUCUUAAAAUAAAUAAAAUAAAAUAAAAUGAAAUAAAAUAAAAUAAAAUAUAUAUAUAUAUAACCACGAAAUAUGACAUUAAGGGUCUUCUGGAAUUCUAUGGUUGGGGACUCAGGGGAUGAGGGUCUGGAAUGAGAAGGAUACUUAAUUUGGUGCUGUUGAAUUUUUUUAAAAAUCCAGGCUGUGGAAUUAUAAUACAUAUAUUGGUUUUAGUUCACAGUUACUGGCUCCUAACUCCUCGUUUUAAUGUCAGGGCACUUUAGGCCUCAGGAAACAGAAUCUCUCUCUAUGAGCUUCUCCUGUCCUUCACUCAUCUGCCUAAGGGAGGAUUCUAAUCUGACUGUGAGUCAAAAGAUCCUCAUCCCAGAGAGGAUCCUGCCCCAUAUCCUAGAGGAAGGAAUGCUACAUAGAAAAGGCCAAGAAAAGUCUGAACAGACAGACCUUGCUGGGUUUACAUUAUGAGCUAUUUGUCCACUCACAUUUCUACAUGGUUGUCAAUCAUGCCCAUGUAAUAAAGACUCCAUUAAAAACCCCACAGGACAGAGUUUGGAGAGCUUCCAGAGAGGUGAACACGUGGAGGCUGACAGGAGGGUGAAGAAGACCUCAUCCACGUGCCAGGAGGAUGGCACAGCCCAUCUCCAUGGAGACAGAAGCUCCUGUGCCGGACCCCUCCAGACCUCACCCUACCUAUCUCUUCAUCAGACUGUUUAUUUGCAUCCUUUAAAAUAUCUUUCUUAAUAAACUAGUAAAAAUGUUUCCCUGAGUUCUGUGAGCCACUCUAGCAAAUUUAUUGAACCCAAGAGGAGGUUGUGAGAACCCCAACUUGAAGCCAGUUGGUCAGAAGUUCCAGAGGCCCAGACUUGCAACUAAGGGAAGGAGGAGAUGGUCUUGUGUCACCAAGCCCUCAACCUCUGAGGUAUGACACCGUCUCCAGGUAGAGAGUGUCAGAACAGAAUUGGAGGACACCAAGCUGGUGUCCACUGCUUGGUGUAUGGGGAAAAAAACCCACAUCUUUGGUCAUGUAAGUCUUCUACUGUGUUGAUGAUUGCUGUGUUGGUGUGAGAGCAGAGGAAUAACAUAGUUAGAGAGAGUUUCCAAAACACAUGUCUAUAUCACUUUUUUCAUUUAAAAAGUUUUUAAAGUGAAGAAAAAAGUUGCAUAAAGGAAAAAUUUACAUCUUAUCUAAGGUGAUACACUGAAUCAGUCAUAAGCCAGAAAAUACCUAGAAUAUGCUAAGACAUGUGAUAACAGUUUCAAUAUUAAUAGUCAUCCUUACAUAUUUAAUCUGCAAACAUGCAGUUCUCAUACUCACCUGCCAAAAUGAAGAACUAUAUACCGGAUGAGAUCACCUUGCUUUUCCAUUUUGUUGUCUGUGACCAUGGGCAUCAAUUUGUCAUAGUACUUGGCAAGGUAAAAAUGCCCAUCCUCCCAUUCUGGCAGGCACGCGGUCACAUCCUAUAAAAAAGAACAUAGGAUACCUACCUAAGGAAAUCCCACGCUAUGCUGGGAAGUAAAAUAUGAAUAGAUGAUUAGGGAUCAAAAGUAUGUGACCUUUAUCUAGGCAGAGCAAAGUCAAAAGCAGACUCAAUCUUUGAUGUGGAAAAGGAAUAGCUAACUUCUUGUAAAGGUUUUCUCAGGAGGGCUGAUUUGUUCUGGUGGGUUGCCCACUGCCCAACAUGAAAUAGUGCUGGAAGAAUUCGCAACUUAGGAGAAAACUCCAUUUAUGUCACCACUUUAAAAGAUACAUCAAAGUAGUGUCUGGAUGGGUUAAAUUUUUUUAUACAUAUAUAUGAUAUGUGUGUGUGUGUAUAUACACAUAUAUCAUGAAAGGCAUUUUUAAAAAUCUUCAAAGCAGAAGUAAUAUCAAGUCUCUAAAGAGUGUAGGACUUUAAAAAGCAUAAAAAUUUUGGUAAAAUAAAAAUCACAUAUUUUGUUUUUCUCCAAGAUCUCUCACAAGUUAUUGCCCUUUCUCUCAAUUCCUUCAGAAGCAGGCUUCUAAAAAGGAUUCUCUACCUCACAUUGAUUCCUAAAACUAUGUCUUUUCAGCUUCAGUCUUCACCACUCCACUAAGGAGCUCCUUAAAUCCAAGAGAUAUUUUACAACUCUGAUCUCAUUUGAACUCUCUUCAAUAUGUUUCUGUUGUCCAAGUCACUUAUUUCAAAUGCUUUCAUCCCUUGACUUCUGUGAGGCCACCAUCUUCCAAGUUUUCUCCUCUCUUUCUGGCCACUCUCACUUAGUCUCCUUUGUCAUUUCUUUUUGCUGUUCCUGCCUUAAAUAUUUGUGUGGUUUAUUAAUUUUUAAUAUUACAUGAAAUGUGAUGGGAAAUACACAGGAUCACUGACAAUUUUUUUUUUAAUUGAAGUUCCACUUUUCAUCUAAAGAAGUUUGAGAACAGUUUAGACCAGAAACCUUAAGUGAGAUCUUGAGUUUCUACUGACUCUAAUCUUGAGACUCUACAGACACAAACCUGCCUGGGAAUAGAGGACAGAAUGAUAUGAUUAGACGUGUGGCACAUGCUAGGUUCAUGUACCUAAUCAGCCACACAGGGUAAGGGCUGCCAGAAAAACAUAUUAGUCAAUCUAGUCUUUCCUUCCUUUCUUCUUUCCUGCCUGUCUUCCUGCCUUCCUUUCUUCCUCCUUCCCUAACUUCCUUCCUCCUCCCUCUCUCAUUUCAGCUUAGAUUUUAAAUAUUUAUUUUGAAAAGUAAAAUUCACAUACUGAAAAAUACACUAAUAUUACAUUUACAGCUUGAUCAAUUAUCACAAAGUAAUUACCUUUAUAUAAAAUCUCCUUCCUCCCUCUCUUCUCUCUCGCUCCCUUUUUAGUUAAGAUUUUUAAGUUUUAUUUUGAAAAAUAAAGUUUAUAUACAGAAACAUAUAUGAAUCUUAUGUAUACAACUUGAUCAAUUAUUACAAAUUUAUCAUCCUCAUACAAGAACUCCAGGAGUUUUUUGUCUGUUUUUGAACUUUUAUAUAAAUAGAAUCAUACUAUAAUAAUUAUUAUUAUUGGCUGGGCAAGAUGGCUUAUGCUUGUAAUCCCAGCACUUUGGGAGGCCCAGGUGGGCGGAUCACGAGGUCAGGAGAUUGAGACCAUCCUGGCUAACACGGUGAAACCUGGUCUCUACUAAAAAUACAAAAAAAAAAAAAAAAAAAAAACAAUUAGCCGGGCGGUGGCAGGCGCCUGUAGUCCCAGCUACUCGGGAGGCGGAGGCAGGAGACUGGCCUGAACCUGGGAGGCGGAGCUUGCAAUGAGCCAAGAUCGCGCAACUGCACUCCAGCCUGAGCGACAGAGCGAGACACCAUCUCCAAAAAAAUACAUAUUAUUAUUAGAGACAAGGUUUUGCCCUGUUGUCCUGGCUGGUGUGCAGUGGCAUGCUCAUGACUCCCUGCAGCCACAACUCCUAGGCUCAAGGCAAUCCUCCCUCCUCAGCCUACGGAGCAGCUGGGACUAGAGGCAUGUACCACCACACCCAGCUAAUUUUUGUAUUUUUUGUAGAGACGGAGAUUUGCUAUGUUUCCUAGGCUGGCCUUGAACUCCUCAGCUCAAGCAAUCCGCCUGCCUCAGCCUCCCAAAGUGCUGGGAUUAUAGGCAUGAGCCACCAUGCCCAGCCCUACGUGUAUUAUAUUUUUUAUCUGGCUUAUUUCAUUCAACAUUACAUUUGUGAUAUCAAUCCAAGUUAUUGCAUAUAAAUUUGGUUUACUAUAUAGUAUUCCAUUAUAAGAAUAUGCUACAACAUAUUUAUCCAUUCUAUAACUGAUUGCCAUUUGGAUUACUUCCAAUAUAAAAUCUACAAAUAAUAAUGUUAUAAACAUUCUUGUGUUUAUCCUCUGGGGACAUGCUGGGUCAUAUUCCAGAUAUGAGCCUCUAAUGUAUUGCAAAUAUCUUCUAAUCUGUAGGUUGCCUCUAACUCACAAUGGUAUCUUCUGAUAAACAGAAGUUAUUGUUUAUUUUAGGGUUAGUGUUUUUGUUAUGUUUAAGAAGUCCUGACCUAGAUUAACAAUCUACCUCAAGUUUACUUUUGUUUAUGGUGGGAAGAAGGGAUCAAGUUUGAUUUUUUGUUUUCCUAUAAGAUACCCAAGUGAUACAACAACAUUUAUUGAAAAGACUAUUUUGGUUAUUCACAGUUUGCCCCUCCAGAUAGAUACACUUGCCAACUUUAGCCUUUUCCACUCUGCUCAGUGCCCCAGCAAACUGAAAUUGAUGAUUUAUAUCAAUGGGCCUGUUUGCCCUCUGGCUUCCUGUGAAGUUCAAUCAAUGGAAGGUAGCAAUAGAUUAGAGGGUGAGGGGGAGAGUGAGGUUAAGGUCUUUAUACCUGCUCGUUUCCUUCCUGCUGGGCUGCAGUUGACAGUGGUGGUGUUUCUUUCCCUAAGGUUAAGUUCUGGUCCAAUGGUCCUUUCCUACAAAUUUAGCUCCCUGUACAGGUUCCAGUAAAUGCCCUAUCCUUUUGCUCCUUCAGGUCUAGAGUUAGCAACGACUCUCUGUUGUUGCUAGCCAUGGGGUACUUUCACCAUCCUUUGUUAAUUUCCCUUAAUCUAGUUUUUCAUUAAACUCUCCCCAAUUACCUCUUUUGAUUGGGCCAACUAUUUUCUCCCUGCACCUGACCUCACACGAUACAGUAAAGAGCAUCUCAGAUAGAUUGGAGGUCACUAAGGAGAUAUGACAACUAAUGCUAUAUGGAAUCCUUAAUUCUAGACAGAAGAAGAACACUAUUGGGAAAACUGGUGAAAUGUGGUCUACAGAUAGUUAACAGUAUUGUUUAUCAAUAUUAAUUUCCCACUUCUGAUACUCUGGUAGUGUAAGAUAUUAAAAUUAGUGGAAACACGGUAAAGGGUAGAUAUGGAAAUUCCCUAUACUACUACUAACUUUUUAGAAGUCAAAGAUUAUUUCAAAUUAAAACUGAAAAAAUGAAAGGUGACAGAGAAGCUUCUUGGUUAUUCUUGGCCUUUAUGUUUCCACAUAAGUUUUAAAUUCUAAUUGUCAAUUACCUGUUAGCAUUUGAUGAGUAAUGCAUUAAACCUCUAGGUCAGUUUGUAGAGAAAUAAUUAUAUUAUUGAGUCUUCCCAUUCAUACAUGUAUUCUAGCUACCAAUUUAUUUAGUUCUUUUUUACUUCACUCAAUUUUAAUGUUUUAAUUUUUAUUUUGUGGAGAGGUCUUGUGUGCAAUUUAAUCCUAGGCAUUUCAUCAUUUUUAUUGCUAUCCUAAAUGAUAUCUUUAAAAAUUUUAGGCUGGGCAUACAUGGUGGCUCACAACUAUAAUCCCAGCACUUUGGGAGGCAGAGGUGGGAGGAUCAGUAGAGGCCAGGGAGUUUGAGACCAGCCUUGGCAGAACAGCAAGACCCUAUCUCCACAAAAUAAAAAAUUAGCUGGGUGUGGUGGCAUGUGCCUGUAGUCCCAGCUACUUGAGAGGCUGAGGUGGGAGGAUCACUUGAGCCCAGGAGGUUGAGGCUGCAGUGAGCUGUAAUCAUGCCACUAUACUCCAGCCUGGGUUGACAGACCAAGACCCUGUCUCAAAAAUAAAAUAAAGUAAAAUUUUAAAUCAACUUUCUUAAGACAUAUACACCCAUGGAACCAUCAUUCCAGUCAAGAAGAUGAACAUUCCUAACUCUCGAAAGUUCUUAUGGGCGCCCACCCUUGCCGUCACUCUCCUGCCAACUACCCAGGCAAAUACUGAUAUAAUUUCUAUGCAUAUACAUUAAUUAUACCUGUUCUAAAAUGUCACAUAAAUGAAAUCAUAUAAGCAUAUAGUCUUUUAUGUCCCUCUUCUUUCAUUCAGCAUAUCUAUGACAUUAAUCUACCUUGUUGCGUGUAUCAGUAGUUCAUUUCUUCUUACUGUAGGGUAGUAUUCCAUUAUACAACUGUACCAGUUUGUUUACCCAUUCUUCUCUGGAUGGCCAGCUGGCCUAUUUCCAGUUUUUGUGACUAAACCUACUAUAAACAUUUGUGUACAAGUCUUUUUAUUGACAUAUGUAAUUGUUUCUGUUGGAUAAACACCUAAGAAUGGAAUGGAAUAUGGUAGAUUUAACUUUUUAUAGUCCCCACCAGGUGCAUUUAUUGCAUUAAUAGGUAUUGCUAGUCUUUCAGACUUUAGCCAUUUUAGUGUGUAAUGUGUUAUUUCAUUGUGGUUUUAAUUUGCAUCUUCCUAAUGACUAAUGAUGUUAAGCAUCUUUUCAUUUGCUUUUUGGCCAUUUGCGUGUAUUCUUUAUGAAGUGUCUAUCCAAGACUUUUGCAGAUCUGUAUUUUUUUUCUUUUAAUAGACAAAGUUUCACUCUGUAACUCAGGCUGGAAUGCAGUGGUGCAAUCAUAGCUAACUGUAACCUUGAACUCCUAGGCUCAAGUGAUCCUCCUGCUUUAGCCUCCCGAAUAGCUAAAACUAUAGGCAUUCGUCACCAUACCUGGCUAAUUUUUAUUUUUGCAGAGACAGGUUCUCACUAUAUUGCCCAGGCUGGUUUUGAACUCCUAGCUUCAAGUGAUCCUCAGGCCUCGGCCUCCCAAAGCACCGGGAUUACAGGCCUGAGCCACUGUGCCUAGCCUCACAGAUCUUUAAAUUGUCUUACUAAGUUGUAGGGUUCUCUAUAAUUUAGCUACAAAUCCUCUGUCAUAUAUGUAUUACAAGUAUUUUCUCCAAGUCUAUGGCUUACCUUUUCAUUUUCUUAACUGUCUUUCUUAGAAAAGGUUUUAACUUUGAUGAACAUCUAAUUUAUCAGGAUUUUUUAAAUGCUUAAUGCUUUGUGUGACCUAAGAAAACCUUUGCCUACCCUAAGGUUGUAAAGAUUUUCUUCUAUUUUUUCAUCUAAAAAUUCAUAAUUUUAGCUUUUCAGUUUAGAUCUAUAAUCUACUUUUUUGAAGCAAUUUUGUCUAUCAUAUGAGGCAGAGGUUGAAGAUCAUUUUUUUCCUCAUACAGAUAUCCAACUGUUCAAGUACUUUCUGCUUGUAAAUGGUAUGUUUUAAAUUCCUUUCUUGUUGUCAUAUAGAAAUAAAAUCAUCAGGCAAUCUUGUUUAAUUCACUCAAUAUUUUGAAUAGUUUAUAAUCUUUUGAAUUUUCUACAUAUGUAUUCAUAUCAUCUGCAAUUAAUAACUUUCCUAUAUUUUUUUCCUAGUCCUUGUAUCUUUUACUUCUUUUUUUAUUUAAAGAUUGCCAUUUGGGUAAUAUUUUAAAAUGACAGCUCUAUUGGGAUAUAAUUAAUAUAUUAUAAAGUUCACACUUUUAAAGUUGUUGUUAGUAUAUUUACAGAGUUGUGUAACCAUCACCACUAUUUAAUUCCAGAACAUUUUCAUCACUCCAAAAAAAAAAUUGUACCAAUUAGCAGUCACUUCCCAGCCCCAACCUCAGUCUCUAGUACCCAUUAAUCUACCUUCUGUCUCUAUGGAUUUGCUUAUUCUGGCCAUUUCAUGUAAGUGGAAUCAUGCAAUAUGUGGCCCCUUGGAUCUGCAUGUCAUUCUACAGUAGUCAGCCUCUAUUCUUUUCUCUACUCAUUUCUGUCUACAUCAUGUAUAGGCAACCAGAACAAGAGAAGCAGCUACUGAGGCCUUUAUGACAGGAAAUUAGGGGUGUAUGCAGAAGAAACAGAACCUGAAAAGUUGGUAGUCUGACAACAUCUCUCUUCCCUAACCCUGGCUUUAGUACCCAGGCAGAGAUGGGAGAACUGGAAUAUUUGCUAUCAAAUUCUGCUGUUAAGUACUGGUGAGUUUUUGUGUGCCUCAUAAGUUGUUGUGUCUUACAUACUAGAAUAAAUUCAGAAGAUCUCUCUAACUGGGAAGGUGAAACUUACAAGUAUGGUUUCAGAACUUGCCUCAUUAUCACUGCCCUUUAGGAUAAUAUAGUUUUUAAUGCAAAUCAAGGUUAGUUUCUUAGGUGGCAUGACAUCUUCUUGUAACCAAGGAACAGGAGCUGGACUCCUAUUUAUCUUCAUCAGAAUGCAACACUUCCUGGAUCUAAAGAUUAGCACUGUCUGUGCCAUUUGCUUUGGCUGUUGGUCCCAUUUAGGUCUUUCUUGUAUCUUUGAUUUCUCUCUCUUCUCAUCAUGCUCUUAUUUUUGUUUAUGUUCUUAAACUUAUGGAGCCUAUAUACAAUAGCUGUUUUUAAAUCCUGUCAUUUCUAGAACUAUUUCUACUGAUUUAUUUUUUUUCCUAUCUGUGGCUCAAAUAUUCCUGCUUCUUCAUUCACAGAGUAAUUUUUUAAUGGAUGCUGGAUAUAUUUUUACAUUGUCAAGUUUUAGAUUUUGUUGUCUUGCUUUAAAGAGUGUUAGGCUUUGAUCUGGCAGGCAGUAAGGUUACUUGAAGAUCAGUGUAAUCAUCUUAAAGCUUGUUUUACUGCCCUUCUAGUAUGGAUAUAGAGUAGUUUUUAGCCUAGGACUAAUUUAGUCCUACUUCUAAGGUGUGGCCCUUUUAAGGUCUUUACUGAAUGCUCCAUAUUAUGCAAUGAGGCCUCUUAAUCUGGCUGGUGGACUGAAUAACUCUCAAUCCUGUAAUCUGAAUGAAUCUCAAUCCCGUGUGAGCUCUGGAAAUUGUUCUUAUAGCCUCUGCAUGUUUAUUCUUUCCCCAGCAGUUAUUCCUAGCUUGGCCUCAUAGAAUUCUGAAUUAUUCAUGUGCAGGCUGGUAUUCAGCGAACACAAUUCCUAUGCAGAUAGGAACUACUCUGUUUAACUUUUUUCUCUCAGUUAAUCUGUCCCACAAAUUCUAGCCACCUGCUCUUUGCUUUAUUAUUUCCUUUCUUCUACUUUUUUAUUUCUCUCCCUACUUUUUUAGUUCCUUUUCUAACUCUUUGGGAUAGAUACUUAACUCGUUAAUUUUGAACCUUUAUUUUCUUCGAAUAUAUGCAAAUAAAAAUUUAAAUCCCUUUUAAGAAUGGCUUUAGCUGCACAGGAUAUGAUAUGCCAUUUUUAUUAUCAUUCAGUUCAAAGUACUUUUCAAUUUCCAUUGAAAGUUUUCAUUGACCCAUGGAUUAUUGAGAGGUAUAUCUCUUACAACACCAUCUAUAUAAAGUUUAAUACCUAGUAAAGAAGUUAUAAAUUGGUUUUGCUGAAAAAUUUUCAGGCUAGGAUGUAGUUAACUUUGAGACAGAGGGUGAGAAUAGUGAUUACUGGGAUGAAGGGUAGUGGGGUUAUAGAGCUCAAAUAAUAUUCUAUUUCUUGAUGUGGUGGCAGUUUCAUGAGUAUAUUUAUUUUGUGAUAAUCCAUAUACUUAUAUACUCACUGAAAAGUCAAAAAAAUUUCCUGGUUAUUUUUAUACAUGUGCUUUGCCAUAUAGACUUAAGUCAUUUUACGUAGUCAACAGAGUUAACUGAAACUGCAUUAUACAUAUACUUGCCUUAUAUUUUUUCAUAAUUGCAUUGCUUUCAAAGUUAGCUGUUUC